rnacentral:lncRNA from 1 species
CUGUCAUCUCUUUGUUCACCACCACAGCCUCUCUUCUUCUUUCUUUCUUUCUCUUUUCUUCUUCUUCUUCUGUUCUUUUCUUUGGUGUGGCUGCUGCCUUGGUUUUCUUUUUCAUCAGAGUGGGUAAGCUCUAAACCCUCUUGGCCUUAGUUGAUUCAAAAUAAGAGUUAAUUGUUAGAUGGUGGGGUGGCAAGAGAGGUAAAAGGUAGAAAGCUUAAACGUUGGGAUAGAGAAGAAUUUGAAGGGGGGAGAAUAUUAAGAAAAAGGAUGUUAAG